rfam:Picea glauca, whole genome shotgun sequence.
AGGAGCCGGAUGAGAAGAAACUUUCAUGUCUGGUUCUGGAUUAGAGAUGGGAUCAAAAUAAUAUUAACCAUCGACUAUAAC